CUGGAAAAUUUUCUUGUUGUCAAUUCAUUUUCUUGUUUCUCCAGCAAAUUGCGGGAGAUGAAAAAUUGUGCAGAAUGUUUCUCUUAAAGAAAAAAAAGAAAUGCAUGGAGUGGGUCAAGCCAACCUAGACCCAGGCUGGCCAUUCACAGUUGGCCCAAGGCCCAGCCGCUAGCUCCUCCCCUUCCCCUAGCCGACCUCCACCCUUUCCCUAACCCUAGCUGCCUUAACCCACCCCCUCUCUCCCUCCCCUGGUCGCAGCCCCCUGUCCAGGCAUCCCUCCCUCUCCCUCUCUUCUGCUCUUGCAACAAAAAGGAAAAAAAAGAGAGCAGGACUCAAGGGAAGAAGGAUAGGGUGGAUUCACAGCUUUUUCUCAUGGUUCCUCACUGUUUCCUAAGGAUACCCUAGGUCGUGUUGCACUGAUGCAUAUAUGUCUUGUCUUCAUCGUCGGUAAAGGCAAGUGAGCGUGGCGGUUGUUGCCACAAUUUUAACUUGUUAUUUUUGCUACCUCCACUUAUAAUAAUGCAGCACACAAGAUUAUACUCAUUAAUUUGGAUGAUUAUACUUACUUGCUCUGUAUCUGUGAAUUUGGCUUAGUCUUUUGGUUAUAGUUGAUGGAGUCUAUGUAAUAGUGAUGAUGUCUUGUCGGUUUAGUCAUUUCUAGCACAACCUCAUAUUAUGUCUAAUGGUUAGUUUACUUGAGGAUCAUGAUGUCGGUUAUGUAGAAGCUUAUAGAAGAGGACAUGCUUUGACUUGUAGGAGGGUAUUUAAUUCUUUUUGGAGGGCUGUUUCAUAUGUCUAUAACUAGUUAGAAUAUAACCUUUUGAAACCUUAUGCAUGUUAAAUGAUAAGUUAGCAGAAGCAUAUUUAUUAUCUUUCUAUGCCCUAUAUAGAAUUAAACUUGUAAUAUGUGGUUAUGAAAUGGGGUAGACCCUGCUCUUUUAAAGCUAGUUUAAUGUGGCUAUAUGUGUAUGUCCUUGUCCUCUGCACUUUAACAGGAAGAAGGAAUUGUGGAUAUGUGUGGAUGGAAGUGGCUUAUACUAAUUAUGUAGAAAAUGCUUUUAUGUUGAUGUAUGUUCAUGGUUGUGUACUAUGCAAUUUAUAUUUUGGCAUUUGAAGUAUAUCAUGUGCAUUGCACUGCAUUGCAUUUCAUAUGCAUUGGAAGUUGUCGUAAAGAUCACGACCGUACCGGUACACAUCGUACGUUGCCCGAGGAGGGGUGCGAUGUAAAAGAAGACAUGUCAUUGCAUUCAUAUGCAUGUCAUAUGGAAUUGAUUGUUGGAUAUAUUGAAGUUGCAUUGGAGGUCAUUAUGAGAAGUGACGCUUCUCCGUGGAUAUGUUCAUUGUGGUAUGACUUGUGAAUUUAUGAAGGUAUUGAAGUCCUAUGUGAAUUUGCAUUGUAUAGUAUCUAUAUGCAUCAUAUUGUGUUACAGUAAUCUUUCAUAUUCAAUUUGGAUGUGAUGAAUGGUAUGAAAAUGUUUGAGUAAUUUUACUAAUUGUAGAAGGUAUGUGGUUGCGAGUGAGUUAUCCUUAAAACUGUCAUUUAUUAUUAAUGUGGCUUGAACUCUAUUCAUGAUGUCUUGGAUGAUUAUAUUAUCUUACAAGUCCUAUUUAACUCUUAGAAGUUGAAAUCAUUUAUUGAUGUUAAUAUCAUGUCAUAUGGGAUAGAUAGUUUUUUUUUCUAUCUUACUUAUGUUAUAGUUAUGUUUUCUAUGAACACGUUCUUAUUGAUCUUCUUUUAGAGGUAACUAUUUAACUUGCUUAAAAAUGAACAUGAUGAAUAAUGCCAUGUCUUUUAUACAUGUUUAAGUUUUAAAGUGAUGUUUUAAAUACUGUGGUUUAAAUAGCUUGUUAAAGUGGUUCGCUUGCUGAGAUUACCCAAUCUCACUUUUGCAAUAUUCCUCCCCAGGUUGUUCUACUUGAAGCUAGCAUAGAGGGAAGGGAUUAGAAGCACAUCUUGCACUUCAUGUAUUCACUUAAUAUUACCGAGUUGUAAUAAUAAAUUAUGUUUAGUCGUUAGAGUCGUGUGUUUGAGGUUUACAGUGUGGUUGUGAUAUUCUG